AAUUCGCCCUUAGAGUUUGAUCAUGGCUCAGAGUGAACGCUGGCGGCAGGCCUAACACAUGCAAGUCGAACGGCAGCGCAGCAGUAGCAAUACUGUGGGCGGCGAGUGGCGGACGGGUGAGGAAUACAUCGGAAUCUACCCUGUCGUGGGGGAUAACGUAGGGAAACUUACGCUAAUACCGCAUACGACCCACGGGUGAAAGCGGCGGACCGCAAGGCGUCGCGCGACUGGAUGAGCCGAUGUCCGAUUAGCUAGUUGGCGGGGUAAGAGCCCACCAAGGCGACGAUCGGUAGCUGGUCUGAGAGGAUGAUCAGCCACACUGGAACUGAGACACGGUCCAGACUCCUACGGGAGGCAGCAGUGGGGAAUAUUGGACAAUGGGCGCAAGCCUGAUCCAGCCAUGCCGCGUGUGUGAAGAAGGCCUUCGGGUUGUAAAGCACUUUUGUUGGGGAAGAAAAGACACCGGUUAAUACCCGGGGGUUUCUGACGGUACCCAAAGAAUUAGCACCGGCUAACUUCGUGCCAGCAGCCGUGGUAAUACGAACGGUGCAAGCGUUACUCGGGAAUU
rnacentral:rRNA from 1 species